rnacentral:rRNA from 1 species
CUGCCCGGUAGCUAAAUGCGGAAGAGAUAAGUGCUGAAAGCAUCUAAGCACGAAACUUGCCCCGAGAUGAGUUCUCCCUGAGACUAUAAGUCUCCUGAAGGAACGUUAAAGACGAUGACGUUGAUAGGCCGGGUGUGUAAGCGCAGCGAUGCGUUGAGCUAACCGGUACUAAUGAACCGUGAGGCUUAACCUUACAACGCCGAAG